AACAAAAUUAUAUAUCGAUUUGGAUUUAUAAAAGAGUGAUUAUGGUUUAGACUUUAAAGUUAAAUAGGAUUAUAUGUCGUUUUCGGUUUGCAGAGAUUUUAUUUCCUUAGUUUGUGUUGUUUUCUAAUU
rnacentral:sRNA from 1 species